rnacentral:rRNA from 1 species
UACGGAGGGUGCAAGCGUUAUCCGGAUUCACUGGGUUUAAAGGGUGCGUAGGCGGGUAUGUAAGUCAGUGGUGAAAUCUCCGUGCUUAACACGGAAACUGCCAUUGAUACUAUGUAUCUUGAAUAUCCGGGAGGUGAGCGGAAUAUGUCAUGUAGCGGUGAAAUGCUUAGAUAUGACAUAGAACACCGAUUGCGAAGGCAGCUCACUACAGGAUCAUUGACGCUGAGGCACGAAAGCGUGGGGAUCAAACAGG